UCCCUGGCGGUCCAGUGGUUAGGACUUGGAGCUCCUGCUGCCAGGGACCCAGGUUCAAUCCCUGGUUGGGGAA
rnacentral:tRNA from 1 species